ACGGAGGAUGCGAGCGUUAUCCGGAUUCAUUGGGCUUAAAGGGUGCGUAGGCGGACUAUUAAGUCAGAGGUGAAAUCCUUCGGCUUAACCGCAGAACUGCCAUUGAUACUGCGACUCUUGAGUGACGGAGAGGGUGGCGGAAUUACUGGUGUAGGGGUGAAAUCCGUAGAUAUCUGGAGGAACACCAGGAGCGAAGGGGGCCACCUGGCCGGCAACUCCCGCUGAGGUGCGAAAGCGUGUGGAUCAAGCAG
rnacentral:rRNA from 1 species